rnacentral:rRNA from 1 species
AUGCUUUGCUUGUAUGUUGAUGACAUACUGAUUUUCGGAACAAAUCUGAAUGUUAUUAAGGAGGUCAAGGAUUUCCUAUCUCGUUGUUUUGAGAUGAAGGAUUUAGGAGUGGCUGAUGUCAUUCUGAACAUCAAGUUGUUGAGAGACGAUGAUGGUGAGAUUACGUUGCUUCAAUCUCACUAUGUGGAAAAGAUCUUGAGUCGCUUUGGCUACAGUGACUGCAAGCCCUCUCCAACACCAUAUGAUGCUAUUGUGUUGCUUCGAAAGAAUCGAAGAAUUGCUAGAGACCAAUUGAAAUAUUCUCAGAUUAUUGGCUCGCUUAUGUACUUAGCCAGUGCUACAAGACCUGACAUCUCUUUUGCUGUUACCAAACUGAGCCGGUUUGUCUCAAAACCAGGAGAUGUGCAUUGGAAAGCUCUAGAGAGAGUUUUGCGUUAUUUGAAAGGCACUGCGAAUUAUGGAAUUCACUACACUGGGCACCCAAAGGUGCUUGAAGGGUAUAGUGACUCAAACUGGAUCUCAGAUGCUGGUGAGAUAAAGGCCACUGUGAUCACUAAAGUGAGCAGCUUAAAUGAUAACAUGAAGUCAUCAAGACACGUUCAGAGAAGGUUAAAGUCUGUCAGAAAAAUGAAAAACUCGGGAGUGAUUGCAUUGGAUUAUAUCCAAACGUCUAAAAAUUUGGCAGAUCCUUUUACUAAGGGUCUAUCACACAAUGUUGAUGUAUAUCUUAAUGUGUUCUAA